rnacentral:misc_RNA from 1 species
AAGUCGUAACAAGGUAACCGUAGGUGAACCUGCGGUUGGAUCAUUAAUUAUAUCCGGUGGGGGUGAGGCGCACAGCUUGCUGUUGCAUUUCCCCCCAAACCAAACAUUAUGUGAACCGAACUGUCUCUGGCGGGGGGGUGGUAAUUAAAACCUACCACUUGUCAGUAAAUGCAUCUUGCAUUUGCCGUGGACAUCCCGUCAACAGGUCUUACACCUUUGCUUUAUUUUGACGUCUGACAUAACCUGUAUAAAUAUACAAAACAACUUUUGGCAACGGAUCUCUUGGCUCUC